rnacentral:rRNA from 1 species
CAGCAGUAGCCGCGGGAAUACAGAGGGUGCGAGCGUUAAUCGGAUUUACUGGGCGUAAAGCGUGCGUAGGCGGCUUCUUAAGUCGGAUGUGAAAUCCCUGAGCUUAACUUAGGAAUUGCAUUCGAUACUGGGAAGCUAGAGUAUGGGAGAGGAUGGUAGAAUUCCAGGUGUAGCGGUGAAAUGCGUAGAGAUCUGGAGGAAUACCGAUGGCGAAGGCAGCCAUCUGGCCUAAUACUGACGCUGAGGUACGAAAGCAUGGGGAGCAAACAGGAUUAGAGACCCGUGUAGUCCCUGUCUCUUAUAC